GACGAACGCUGGCGGCGUGCCUAAUACAUGCCAGUCGAACGCAUUUUCUUUCACCGUAGCUUGCUACACCGAAAGAAAAUGAGUGGCGAACGGGUGAGUAACACGUGGGUAACCUGCCCAUCAGCGGGGGAUAACACUUGGAAACAGGUGCUAAUACCGCAUAAUUCCAUUUACCGCAUGGUAGAUGGGUGAAAGGCGCUUUUGCGUCACUGAUGGAUGGACCCGCGGUGCAUUAGCUAGUUGGUGGGGUAACGGCCUACCAAGGCUGCGAUGCAUAGCCGACCGGAGAGGGUGAUCGGCCACACUGGGACUGAGACACGGCCCAGACUCCUACGGGAGGCAGCAGUAGGGAAUCUUCGGCAAUGGACGCAAGUCUGACCGAGCAACGCCGCGUGAGUGAAGAAGGGUUUCGGAUCGUAAAACUCUGUUGUUAGAGAAGAACAAGGAUGAGAGUGGAAAGUUCAUCCCUUGACGGUAUCUAACCAGAAAGCCACGGCUAACUACGUG
rnacentral:rRNA from 1 species